rnacentral:rRNA from 1 species
AGGACGAACGCUGGCGGCGUGCUUAACACAUGCAAGUCGAACGGAAAGGCCCUUCGGGGUACUCGAGUGGCGAACGGGUGAGUAACACGUGGGUGAUCUGCCUCGUACUCUGGGAUAAGCCUGGGAAACUGGGUCUAAUACUGGAUAGGACCUUGGGUCGCAUGGCCUUGGGUGGAAAGUUUUUCGGUACGAGAUGGGCCCGCGGCCUAUCAGCUUGUUGGUGGGGUAAUGGCCUACCAAGGCGACGACGGGUAGCCGGCCUGAGAGGGCGACCGGCCACACUGGGACUGAGACACGGCCCAGACUCCUACGGGAGGCAGCAGUGGGGAAUAUUGCACAAUGGGCGCAAGCCUGAUGCAGCGACGCCGCGUGAGGGAUGACGGCCUUCGGGUUGUAAACCUCUUUCACCAGGGGCGAACUAAGGACGGUACCUGGAGAAGAAGCACCGGCCAACUACGUGCCAGCAGCCGCGGUAAUACGUAGGGUGCGAGCGUUGUCCGGAAUUACUGGGCGUAAAGAGCUCGUAGGCGGUUUGUCGCGUCGUUCGUGAAAACCCGAUGCUUAACAUCGGGCGUGCGGGCGAUACGGGCAGACUUGAGUACUACAGGGGAGACUGGAAUUCCUGGUGUAGCGGUGAAAUGCGCAGAUAUCAGGAGGAACACCGGUGGCGAAGGCGGGUCUCUGGGUAGUAACUGACGCUGAGGAGCGAAAGCGUGGGUAGCGAACAGGAUUAGAUACCCUGGUAGUCCACGCCGUAAACGGUGGGUACUAGGUGUGGGUUCCUUUCACGGGAUCCGUGCCGUAGCUAACGCA